CCAUGGGGUCAUGAAGAGUCGGACACGACUAAAUGACUAAACAACAACAAGGAAAGACUAGAAUAUCUCUUCUAAGAAAAUGCCUGUGAUGAUACCUUCUCAUCUAAGAACAAAGGAAGUAUACUUCUUGCUUCAGAAACAGAUGUAAAUUCAACCAGAAUAUCUAUCAAUCAACUCUAACUCACACGAUUCACAUUUUUAAAAAUUGAGCUAUAGCCUUAGCUCAGAAGUAUUUUUAACUUGUAAUCCUUACAACAAUCUUGUCGGCUAGAUCAGCAUUAUCCCUAUAUUACUGUUGGGUGACUGAAGUUGCAUUGCUUUUUGGAAGUUCCACUGAAUCGGAUCUUAUCAGACGGACGGAAAAUCUGAAGAGAUAUUUUGCUUAAACGAGCUUCAAUUUAGCAGAACUUUAGAAGAACUGCAGAAGAAGUUUAUUCCUGAAUCAGCUUUCCCCUGAGAAAACCGGGUAGAGACAUUUCUGAAUCUAGGUACACAGCACUAAAAAUGCUGGUUUGCAUGGACUCUAAUUGCUCAUCUGCAGCUUUGUUGGUAUGUAUGAGAUAAAACAACAAAAAUCAUAUGCAUUUCUAUAGCAAUUUGCUGAUUGCUCC